rnacentral:rRNA from 1 species
AACAGCCCUUAAGCUGAAUUGAUGUUAGUGGAACAAGCUGGGAAGCUUGGCCGUAGUGGGUGAUAGCCCCGUACACGAAAACAUCUUUACAGUGAAAUCGAGUAGGACGGGACACGUGAUAUCCUGUCUGAAUAUGGGGGGACCAUCCUCCAAGGCUAAAUACUCCUGACUGACCGAUAGUGAACCAGUACCGUGAGGGAAAGGCGAAAAGAACCCCUGUGAGGGGAGUGAAAUAGAUCCUGAAACCGUGUACGUACAAGCAGUGGGAGCGGUCCUUGAGACCGUGACUGCGUACCUUUUGUAUAAUGGGUCAACGACUUAAUUUCAGUAGCAAGCUUAACCAUUUAGGGGAGGCGUAGGGAAACCGAGUCUUAAUAGGGCGUCAUAGUUGCUGGGAUUAGACCCGAAACCGAGCGAUCUAUCCAUGGGCAGGUUGAAGGUUGAGUAACAUCAACUGGAGGACCGAACCGACUACCGUUGAAAAGUUAGCGGAUGACCUGUGGAUCGGAGUGAAAGGCUAAUCAAGCUCGGAGAUAGCUGGUUCUCCUCGAAAGCUAUUUAGGUAGCGCCUCGUGUCUCACCAUUGGGGGUAGAGCACUGUUUCGGCUAGGGGGUCAUCCCGACUUACCAACCCGAUGCAAACUCCGAAUACCAAUGAGUGCAAUCACGGGAGACAGACAGCGGGUGCUAACGUCCGUUGUCGAAAGGGAAACAACCCAGACCGUCAGCUAAGGUCCCAAAGUUACAGUUAAGUGGGAAACGAUGUGGGAAGGCUUAGACAGCUAGGAAGUUGGCUUAGAAGCAGCCAUCUUUUAAAGAAAGCGUAAUAGCUCACUAGUCGAGUCGGCCUGCGCGGAAGAUAUAACGGGGCUAAAACUGUACACCGAAGCUACGGACGCAUGCUUGCAUGCGUGGUAGAGGAGCGUUCUGUAAGCGGAUGAAGCGUAAGCCGGGAGGCAGCGUGGACGUAUCAGAAGUGCGAAUGUUGACAUGAGUAACGAUAAGGGGGGUGAAAAACCUCCCCGCCGGAAGACCAAGGGUUCCUGUCCAACGCUAUUCGAGGCAGGGUGAGUCGGCCCCUAAGGCGAGGCAGAGAUGCGUAGUCGAUGGGAAGCGGGUUAAUAUUCCCGCACAUUUUAUAACUGCGAUGGAGAGACGGAGCAGGCUAGGCGAGCGCGGCGAUGGUUGUCCGUGUUUAAGCCCUUAGGCAAAGAUCUUAGGUAAAUCCGGGAUCUUCACUUUAAUGUGGAUGCUGAGAGGUGAUGACGAGGCUCUACGGAGUUGAAGUCGUUGAUGCCAUACUUCCAGGAAAAUCUUCUAAGCUUCAGGUUAUAAGGUACCGUACCCCAAACCGACACAGGUGGUCAGGUAGAGAAUACUAAGGCGUAUGAGAGAACUCGGGUGAAGGAACUAGGCAAAAUGGUGCCGUAACUUCGGGAGAAGGCACGCCACUAAUGGUGAUGGGAUUUACUUCCUAAGCUGUUGGUGGUCGAAGAUACCAGGUGGCUGCGACUGUUUAUUAAAAACACAGCACUCUGCAAACACGAAAGUGGACGUAUAGGGUGUGACGCCUGCCCGGUGCCGGAAGGUUAAUUGAUGGGGUUAGCUUCGGCGAAGCUCUUGAUCGAAGCCCCGGUAAACGGCGGCCGUAACUAUAACGGUCCUAAGGUAGCGAAAUUCCUUGUCGGGUAAGUUCCGACCUGCACGAAUGGCGUAACGAUGGCCACACUGUCUCCACCC